rnacentral:tRNA from 1 species
ACCUGGGUGGCUCAGUUGGUUAAAGCAUCUGACUUCGGCUCAGGUCAUAAUCUCUCAGGUUUGUGAGUUCAAACCCCACAUCUGGCU